UAUUUAAUGGACCGGGUAUUAUUCACUCUCAACAGUAAAAACGAUUUAAGACUACCGAUUUUUAAAUCUACUAAAUUAUUCAGUGAUGUUGCAAUUUGACAGAUUAAUUACAUUUGUAUUAUUACUAUAGGCCUAAUCUAAUGCGCUUGGCUGCUGCCCUGCACCCACGGGAUACAAAUAUUGAGGCUUAUGUGUGGUGUCUACAUAUUGUAAAGAACAAUUAACAAUACGGUUCUAUUUAGAAAUGAUGAUGCAUCGACGUGUUCGGUAAUCACUGGCUGUUGAUCAGGAUAUCUGUUGUACAGUUAUUCGGCCUAUAUCCCAGCAUGGGCCCGGAAGUUGUCUGGGAUUCCCAGGUAAAGAAGAUAACGGAGAUGCUGCUGUCGCCAGAAAGCAACCAGAUAUUCUGACAUUUAAAAGCAAAACAACUGUUGUUCGCCAGUCAGCUGGUGAGAGAAUGAAUGUUGACCACUGCAAUGGACGUCCAUACAUGUCAGGCAGUGAAGGAGAGCCACUAAGGGAGCAUGGUGAUUCGCAUGGACAUUUGAGAGUUCCAACAGCAAGCACUCCAGACAGACAGCAGUCCUCUCCAAACCAACCGCUCAGUGGUCAGCCAUCUCUCUAUAAACCCUACCUGCUAUUUGUAUAACCAACCAAAUGUACUAUUCAGUGCCCUCUGAAAUUACUGGAACAGUCAAGUGUUUUCGAUUUCAUUAUUAA
rnacentral:lncRNA from 1 species